UGAAAUUGUGUCAGCAUAUUUGGAGCAGAAGUACACAAAAAGGAGUGACCCAUCUUCAAAGCAUCUCUGAAGGGACUUUGGUGCCAUUGAACAUCAAAGACUGAACACUGUUACCACAGACCAAGUCCCUUAUUUUUUUAAAAAGACACAACCAACCCAGAGAGGCAAAUUAGCCCUUGGUUAUACAAGAAGUUGUAAGAAGCAGCAUAUCUCUUAUGUCUUUUCUUUGCAGUUGCUACAGAGUAAAAGAAAAUCAAUUCGGUGUAUUCUCCAGGAGUAUGGAGGAAAACAGCCCUUAUUUCAAAAAAUUUUGGAAGGAAGAAAACCAAAAUAAUUUGUGUGGUCAUUGUUUUGUAAUACUGAUGGUGAAAUGCAUGUGAAUUAUCCAGACACAUCUUUAUUUCAGCCAUCCUAAAAUUUUGACUAGAAUUACAUAUUAAA
rnacentral:lncRNA from 1 species